rnacentral:antisense_RNA from 1 species
UUGUUGUUUUUUUUUAGUUUAAACUUGGUUUUGUGGGGGGACGAACAGCGUGACAAUUAAAGAAGAUGUAGGAAUCAAAAGCUUCCUGAGGCCUACAACCAGAAGCAGAUGCUGGUGCCAUGCUUCUACAGCCUGCAGAACUGAAGCACUUUAUAGCUUCUCUUUGGCAUAUCCAAAUUGCCAGCAUCACCGCUCUUGCACUCCGAGCCAUUAUUAAGUAAAGAACACAAACACUGUGAUACCGCUACACUUGAUCUGAUAACCAAGAAGUCUACUAAGUGACUAACAGCAGAGCAACUGGGAACCUAAUUCUGACCAACAAGGAGGAAUUGUUUGGCUAAUUGGAAGUGACAGAAACCUUGGGAGAAAGCAACCGCAUACCAAGGAUAAUUGUAAGAAGAAGAGAAGACAUGGAGAAGAGGAGGGGAUAGUUGUGACUGUGGAGGCAGAGAAUGGAGUAAUGUGAUCAUAAAUCAAGGAAUGCUGACAGCCACUAAAGCUGGAGAAGGCCAAGGACAGAUUUCCAAUCCUCCCGCAGAAGUACAGCCCUGCUAAUGCAUUGAUUUUGGACUUCUGGCCUCAGAACUGUAAGAGAAUAAAUUUCUAUUGUUUUAAACCAUCA